rnacentral:rRNA from 1 species
CGGCGGACGGGUGAGUAAUGCCUAGGAAUCUGCCUGGUAGUGGGGACAACGUUUCGAAAGGAACGCUAAUACCGCAUACGUCCUACGGGAGAAAGCAGGGGACCUUCGGGCCUUGCGCUAUCAGAUGAGCCUAGGUCGGAUUAGCUAGUUGGUGAGGUAAUGGCUCACCAAGGCGACGAUCCGUAACUGGUCUGAGAGGAUGAUCAGUCACACUGGAACUGAGACACGGUCCAGACUCCUACGGGAGGCAGCAGUA